rnacentral:rRNA from 1 species
ACGCUGGCGGCACGCCUAACACAUGCAAGUCGAACGAAGUAGCAAUACUUAGUGGCAGACGGGUGAGUAACAUGUGGGUAUCUACCCUUUGGCCUGGAAUAACACGAGGAAACUUGUGCUAAUACCGGAUAAGUCUUUACGGAGAAAGCUUUAUGCACCAUUGGAUGAGCCCGCACUUGAUUAGUUUGUUGGUGGGGUAAUGGCCUACCAAGACUGUGAUCAAUAGCUGAUUUGAGAGGAUGAUCAGCCACAUUGGGACUGAGACACGGCCCAAACUCCUACGGGAGGCAGCAGUGGGGAAUCUUGCACAAUGGAGGAAACUCUGAUGCAGCGAUGCCGCGUGAGUGAAGAAGGCCCUUGGGUUGUAAAGCUCUUUCGUCGGGGAAGAAAAUGACUGUACCCGAAUAAGAAGGUCCGGCUAACUUCGUGCCAGCAGCCGCGGUAAUACGAAGGGACCUAGCGUAGUUCGGAAUUACUGGGCUUAAAGAGUUCGUAGGUGGUUGAAAAAGUUGGUGGUGAAAUCCCAGAGCUUAACUCUGGAACUGCCAUCAAAACUUUUCAGCUAGAGUUUGAUAGAGGAAAGCAGAAUUUCUAGUGUAGAGGUGAAAUUCGUAGAUAUUAGAAAGAAUACCAAUUGCGAAGGCAGCUUUCUGGAUCAUUACUGACACUGAGGAACGAAAGCAUGGGUAGCGAAGAGGAUUAGAUACCCUCGUAGUCCAUGCCGUAAACGAUGUGUGUUAGACGUUGGAAAUUUAUUUUCAGUGUCGCAGCGAAAGCGAUAAACACACCGCCUGGGGAGUACGACCGC